GCUUCUCUGAAUAAAAGAAGAGCAGGCUUUUGUUCAGCAGGUGUCUGAAGAUUUCUGAGCUUCACUCAUUGCUGAGAUAUGGAUUCAAAGAAACCUGUACGCAGGCACCAUUUGCUUUGCCCAGUCUGUUUUAGGACCCAAGAACCA